rnacentral:misc_RNA from 1 species
AGGCAUAGUUCGAACAUGAUCAAGAAGUCCUGUAAGUUCUCGAUGAACAUGAGUAAAACGUUCCUUGGAUACCAAUGACUCUGUCAAUAGAGUUGAUGCAAGAGAAUGAAAGGUUUGAGCACACUCAUCACUGUUGCUUUGAGCAUUUUGAUCAUCCAUUGGCAACAAAGAAUGCUUCCUUCGCCAACGAAGAGGUAAGUAUUUUUCCGGGAGCUGAAAGUAGUUCUUGACUGAAAGUACUCUAAGAGAGUGCCUACAUAAUAUUCCAGACUGGUCAAAUUCCUUGCAUGAACAAUGAAUUUGCUCCUCUUCUGGUAUCCAAAUUACAAGACAUUCCCCAUCCAUUUUCUUGUAGUGCCUCAGAAGGUAUGAUCCAUCUGCCAUUUCUUGUGUUCCAUACUGCAGGGACAAAAUUAUUUCAUGCUGAAAUACAUUAAAGGCAUAAGGUGUGAGAACACUUCUUGCAUGUUCUUCAAUAGGCAUGCUCGUCUUGAUAUGCAUAUACUGCAUCCCAUCUCUGCUUUGAUUUCCAAAGUUGGCAGCAAGAGCAACCUGCUCAAAGAAUAUUUGCAAACAUGUUUGUCCUCUCAAUAUACUUUUUAAGAAUACAUCCAGACAUUGAGAAAACUCAGCUGUCAAGGAACGAGCCAGAAAGUAACCUCUGAUACAGGAAAAUGACCAGUAUCCUCUAUAUGAAAAGAGAAGACCCAUAUGCUUAUCUGAAGCAAGUCCAAAUCUAGCAACCAAAAGAUUCCACUGGUGUUCAAAAUCUUCUACACUUUCAAGGCGACACAGCAUAUCAAACUCAGCUUUAAAAUCUUCAUACUGUGAUCCAAGAGAAAAAGAGAACCAGCUGAAUAAUUUGGACAGAAUGUGCCAUAUGCAUAUAAUAUGUUUAGUGUUUGCCAACUCCCUUGCUAUAGCAUCCCUCAGACCUGAAUCUAUAUCUGUUAUAAUUGUCUGUGGAUGUCUUCCUCGCAUAAAGCGAACAAAACUCUGUAAAGCCCAUGCAAAGGAAUCAGAACUUUCAUCUUGCAACAAAACACAUCCAAAUAAAAUUGCCUUCCCAUUGUUAUCCAUGCCAAACCACAUUCCUAGGAGCAACCCAUAUGUAAUAGAACGAUAUGAGGUGUCAAAUGUAACUACAUCACCAUAAAUUGUACAUGCACGGACAGAGUCUCCAUAUGACCAUGCAAUAUUUUCAACCUUUUCAUUUUCAUCAGUUGUAUAAUCAUAAGCAAAAUCUGCAUCCCUCUCUGUCAUAGCCUUGCAGGCCUCAAGAAGUUCUAAUGUAUCAUUCUCUCUCUUUUCAGUGAGCAGAGCAUCAUUUUCUUGGACAGUCUUCUUACAAGUUCGAACAAAAUUUCUAACAUCCUUCUCUAUAAAGGGCAAUUGUCCUGGUUGAACACCCUUUUCUAACUCCAACACCUUCACUAUCCGAUUAACAGGAAACCCUGCUUUGGAUAGCAAAAGAAUGCGUUCUUGAUCAGCCUCCUGUAUUUUCCGAUAUGCAGGUAGCAAGCGCACCUGGUCAUCUUCCAAUAAUUCAUGAUUAUGAACAUUGCUAAACUGUGAGACAUACCAUUGAGUGUCACCAUCAACAAUUUCCUUAGUAAGAUACAAUUUUGCAUCACAUCCACAUCGAACUGACUUCCUGUCCCGGGGAUGCUCCACGUUGGCCUUUUUUCUUGGUUGAUUAAAUCCAGAUCGAUAACAAACAAAAUCUCGUCUAUAAAUCCCUAAAUUUUGGCUUUCAGUUGACCGUGCUUUCCUGAUUGAAAAUCCAUUCUUCCGAGCAAAAUUGCUGUAAUACUCAAAAGCAUCAUCAUCACUUUUGAAAAUUUGGCCUACAUAAGGUGUAAAGACAACUUCUGCUGAUGAUGAUAUUGAUGGUGUCUCAUUCUUUACAAGAUGAGAGCUCAUUGAUGUCUGAUCAUCUCCUUCAUACUUAAUAUAGCAUUUCCAAUCUCCACAUGGGCAUUGCUGGCGUCGAAUCCAUAUGUUAUUUGAUGGCUUCAUAACCCUUGGUAGCAAAAGUUAUUCCAAUAUCCAGACUUGUGCACUGUAUGCUUUCAGCAGAAGAAAAUGAAAAUUGCUAAGAACCCUCAAAAAUGAUUCUGAAGUCCAACCCUUUAUCAGCACGGUAAUGCCAGAUAGCGCCAGGAAUUUAAAAAAAAAAAGCGAGAAAAAGAGUAAAAGAGGUGAGCUUUUUUAGGAGAAGAAGAUCACAUCAUUCCUGUGUGGUGUGUGACUGAUUCUUGGUUUGUGCUUUUGGUUUGCCAGCAGCAGGAGCAGCGUCCUUGCGAGACAGUAUCUCGCAGUCACAAUCUCGCAGGGUCGAAUUGGAGGCCCAAUUCGGUCAUGCCCAACGUACGUCUGACUUGUUAUAGG